rnacentral:rRNA from 1 species
AUGAAGAAUAAUAAGGCUCCUGGCCCGGAUGGUUUCCCGACAGAGUUCUACAAGAAGUGUUGGCACAUUAUUAAAGGAGAUCUAUUGCCGUUGUUCAAUGAUUUAUUCUCUGGCCAGCUUCACCUUUUUCAGCUGAAUUUUGGAACGAUAACACUUCUUCCCAAGAAGACAGAGGCAGUGCGGAUUGAGCAAUUCCGGCCUAUCUGUCUUCUCAAUGUCAGUUUCAAAAAAUUUACCAAGGUCGGGACGAAUAGGCUCACACAGAUUGUGCAUACUGUGGUGCAACCUAUUCAGCCUGCUUCAUGCCGGAUUGGAACAUCCUUGAAGGGGUGGUGGUCCUGCAUGAAACGCUCCAUGAGAUUCACACGAAAAAUUGGAUGGAGUGGUUUUUAA